GCGUCUCGUUUAAAGUCUCCAAAAAGGGUUCAAGGUUCCGUCCGAAACCUGUAGCUCAGCAAAAGGAUGUUGCUUCCGAUGAUGAAUCUGAAGUUCCCAAGGAUGGGUCCUUGAUUGGCGCCAGAAAUCCUUCGUCCAAGAACAGGGCCGAGGUAAAAAUUAGGGCUUGUUUAAGAUUGAAUUGCGAAAGAAGCGUGUAAAAUUAGGGCUGUUUGGUUAAGAUUUAGGAUUGGUUAAGCUUCAUCACCCUGCCAAUUUCGAUAGCGUUGGGUAUUUGCUUUCUGCUGGUUUUUCUGCUGAAGAUUGGCACGUGAGAAUUGAAAUGUGGCAUCUUAUUGACUCGGAAGUUAUUUUUUCUUGUACUAUUCUUUCAUGGAGAUACAAAAUUCAAACCUGGUGCUGUAUCUGUUUUUGCUGCUUAAGUUUAGUAUCUUAAGAGAAAAGAACAAUGAAAUCUCGAUUCUGAGGCUGUGCUGCGUUAGAUGGUGGUAUGGUGCAGUGUAAGUUAACUGUUUGGUGGUUACAUGUGCCUAACUAAUGCAUGGACUGUUCUGAUUUCGUAUGUUUGUGUCUGGUUUUUUAUAUCCUCUUUCUCGAAUGGUUGUGUGAAAGCGUGUUGGUAGACUUGCUUCUCGAGCUCUAAUUUGGCUCUGACGAAUUAAGUUUUCUGUGAUAUAGGGCACUUUUGCUGAUGGUACUGAUGGUCUAUCGGAUGUCUCGAGUAUAUCUGUCCGUGGUAAAGAGAGCUUUUUCCGUUAUGGUUUUUGUUUAUUGUUGUUAAAUGGGGCUAGAAGUUGCUGAUACCAUUUGAUCCUGAACAUUGUUGAUGUUUCCUGUUUCUUCAGAGAACGAAGUUUCCUUCACUUUGAACCUCUAUCCAGAUGGAUAUUCUAUUGGAAAAGUUUCGGAGGUGUGCUGAAAGGAUAUCAUUGAUUUCCUUGUAUAGUUUGGAGAGCUGCAUAUUCUUUUGUUUGAUUUUAACUUGAGUUCGCCUAUGAAUUUUCAGAAUGAUAUUGUGCACAGGGCUCCCCUUCAAGAUGCUUCAAAGUUGCUGCACCCUUAUGAUAGGGCAUCUGAAACUAUAUUCGUGGUUGGUACUGCUUAUUAUUCUCGAUUCGUGUAAUUAGAUUCUGCUUUAUCAUGGAAACCUAUCUCCCAUCUGUGUCGUGCCUUUCACUUAGUUGAACUGCCAACCACUCUCACUAGCUUCAUUUUACAAGUUUAUUGGUUUUCAAUUGCUUACGCUUUGUACAGGCAAUUGAGUCUGGCUGGUUGCCGGGAGAUAUCCUGGAUGAUAUACCAUGCAAGUACGUUAAUGGAAGUCUAAUAUGUGAGGUGAGUAUCUUUUGUGUUUGAACUUCUAGCAAUAUCAUUUGCUGGAUAUAUUAAGACCGUGGCAACAUUCAUACAUGUAUUAUCUAAUGAAACUGUAAGAAUGAUGUAUCGUUAAAGUCUCUAAAGUGGUGACAUGUUCAAAACUUUUGUAGAUUCGAGAUUAUCGGAAGUGUGCUACUGAGCAAGGGUCUGCUAUCACAUCUACUGAUGUCCCUAUCAUAAAUAAAGUGCGCCUAAAGAUGUCAUUGGAGAAUGUAGUAAAGGAUAUUCCAUUGAUCUCAGAUAACUCAUGGACCUAUGGGGAUUUAAUGGUAAUAGUUACUGUCUUUCUCUUAGUAAGUUUCUGCAAUAUUUUUUGAGCCAUCAGGCUUUAGUGAUGUUUAUAACUGUCGCUAUAGGAAGUGGAGUCCAGGAUAGUGAAGGCUUUGCAGCCAGUGCUUUCUCUUGAUCCCAAACCAAAAUUGGAUAGACUUUCUGCUAGUCCUCUUCCUUCCAAGGUAAUAACUUUCCAAAUUAAUGUGGUAUUCCAUCAGAGAAGUAUUUCAACAUUUUUAUUCAACUCUCCUGACUCAUAUUUGCAGCUUAAUUUAAAUCUGGCUAGUCUGCGGAGGAAAAGGUUGAGGCAGAUACCGAAUGUUACCGUGACAUCUACAAGCAGACUCCAUGGGAAGAAAGUUUGCAUAGAUCAAGUCCCGGAAAGCUCUAACAGUAGAUUUUCUGACCCAAACAUUAUGGUGGGCAACAUGAUGCACCCGCAUGUCCAGGGGAAUCUAACAGCUCCAAAUCUUGGUCAAGGAAACAUGCCAGGUGGCAGUAGUCAGGCAUUCCCUUUGGUUUCUUCUCAGCCAAGGUAUCAACCGGGCGUUGGCUCAGGGCCUCUUGUUAAUGUUUCGGCAGCUUCCCCGAGUGGACAAGAUAUGAUGGUCACUUAUAAUGACAAUGUAAAUGCAAGUGCUUCAAUGCAUGGUAAAAGAGGAAAUCAAGAUGGACAAAUGUCACCAUUAGCAAAUAAUAAUAAGAGAGCGAGGAUGACAUCAGGUCCUGACGGCAAACAACAGCCACAAGUAGGACCAAUUUCGGAUAACCUCCAAGCGGCUGAUAUGAACUGGAAGAGUUCAUUACUUCAGCAGCACAUUAUGGCAAGAGGAAUGCAGCAGUACCCCAAUGCAGGGAUUCAAAAGUAUCCACAGAUGUUUGAAGGGGUUUUGAAUCAGGGUGCUGGAACACCAUUUUCUGCUGGACAAUCGGCUUUGAGGUUUGGUCCAAAGGAAGAACUGUUUGAGUCAGAAAAGCUUGGUGGAUCUGAACUGAAUCAGGGAAAGAGUGAUAUGACAAUAGAGAACAAUUUGGUAAGUCUGGAUCCACAGCAGUUGCGCCUACAUCAAAGACUUCCACAACAUAUGAUGAGACCGAAUUUUCCCCAGACGGGAUGGAACAAUCUCAGCCAAGACACAAAAAAGGAGGAACAACAACACCCAAAGAGAAAACCAGCACAAAGUCCCCGGUUGUCUGCAGGGACAUUGGCUCAGUCUCCAUUAUCGUCAAGAUCUGGGGAAUACUCUGGUAACUCAGCUGGACCUCACAUGGGAGGAGUUGCAGCAGUAACCUCUCUUGGAUCGCAGAAGGACAAGUCAGCUGUUACCUCGCUUCCUGCCAUUGCUGGGACUGCUUCUGCCAAGCGGAGGUCAAAUUCGGUCCCAAAGAACUCUGCUAUGAGUGGAGUUGCCUCUCCUGCAAGUGUUGGUAACAUUAGUGGUUCAUUGAAUGCAAACAGUCCUACAGUUGGAACACAAUCUAUGGCUGAUCAUGCCAUUCUUGAAAGGUUUGCCAAGAUUGAGGUUGUCGCUUCAAGGUACAGUGUCCUGCAAGUACAACUGCUAUCUGCAAACUGAUCUUUUUUCCUGUAUUAAUGUUUGACUGAAUUUUUUCUGUUCCAGGCAUCAGCUUAGCCGUAAAAGGAAUAAACUAGAUGACUACCCAAGGAAGCAAAAUACGUAUAAUCCUCAGAAUAUUGCGGUUUGCCUAUCCAAUGCAGCGAAUUAUGAGGAUUUCAAAGAUGAAAUUAAAGAAAGGCAAUUAUCGAAGUCACUUGUUGGUGGCAACAUCAAUGUUCUCAAGAUAAGAGUUAUGAAUUUUAUGCAAGGUGAACGAGUGCUGCAAGGUUUGUUGAUGAAUCUACUCAAAAGUAUUAAAAAAAUUACACACUCAAAUUUAUUUAGUUACAUUUGUCACUAAGAGCUGCCUUAAUUCCCUAGGAAAUGUUGUGACUUAUGUCCCGAAGGCACGUGCUAGAAUGAUCAUGAUGGAGAAGUCGAAUGAUGGUACUGUGGCUAUGCAUUAUGGAGACUUAGAGGAUGGGGAUGUUCUCUCUGCUGAGGAAUAUCUUCCUACAUUGCCUAAUACUGUAAGUCUACUGAUGAGAUCGGAUUCCAAUAUAUUGUCGGCAUAGCUUAAAGAGCCAUGAUUUUAUGUUUCGGCUGAGUUUGUGUUUCUAUUAUUUUCAUGUUUGGCUCUGAUCCCCGAUAUUGUUUUUUUCUGCAGCAUUUUGCGGAUUUGCUCGCACAGCAGUUCUGUACAUUGGUAUGUUAGAAGAAUAGGCUUUCGAUUUUUGUAUGAUUUUCCUUUCCUCUUUCAUCAUCCACUCAGACUCGUUUUUGUUUCCCAACGCAGAUGAGUCGAGAUGGUUAUCUAGUGGAAAAUCACAUCGAACAGAAACCAACAAGGAUGAAUAAUACCUCAUCAGGCAGUCAACCUGGCGUAUUCCCCAACAAUGCAACAAUGGAGAUGCAGCAGCAGUACAACGAAUCCAUGGCGGGUCAGACCUCAAAUGAUGUGAAGCCCACUCUUAGUGGCAACCCUUCGGUAAAUUCGUCCCAGAACGCACCGGUAAAUGCAAGGAUGCUGCUUCCUGGGAACUCUCAGGCCUUACAGAUGCCGGUGCCUCCAAGACCGCAGCAACUGGACCCACAACAGUUACCAAUUUCACAGCAAUCACAGCAACAAAACCAGCAUGCUUUACUUCAACAACAGCAUCAUCAGCAUCAACAGCUUCAGAGGACACAAAUGGUGCUUCCACCAAACCCACUCUCCCAUUUGAACGCCAUGGGGCAAAAUCCGAACAUGCAAUCGGGUGGCCAUUCAGUUAAUAACAAACAUUCUCCACUCCAACUUUCCCAGCAACAACUGCAGCAGAGGAAAUUGAUGAUGGGGCUUGCGGGGCAACCGGGCAUGGGCAAUAUCGGAAAUAACAUGGCGGCGUAUGGAGGCUUGGCGAAUGCCAUGGGGAUCGGAGGAGCUGCAAGGGGAAUUGUCGCCGGUUCAGGAAUUUCUGGACCAAUGGCACCUAAUUCGGGUAAUGUUGGUGGUCAGAACCCAAACCAGAUGCUAAUGAGCCAGGGGAUUAACAUCGGUAACGCCUUAAGCCAGCAGUUUCGAUCCGGGAAGAUGAAUCAGCAACAGGCUGCCUUUUUGACAUCGCUCAGGAUGGCGAGUGCUCGAACAACCAUGCUCGGUGGCCCUCAGCCUGGAAUGUCUGGUGGUCGACAGAUUAAUCACACGAAUGCUGCCGGUCUGUCCAUGUUGGGACAAUGACGGAAUGCAGCAGUACCCCAAUGCAGGGAUUCAAAAGUAUCCACAGAUGUUUGAAGGGGUUUUGAAUCAGGGUGCUGGAACACCAUUUUCUGCUGGACAAUCGGCUUUGAGGUUUGGUCCAAAGGAAGAACUGUUUGAGUCAGAAAAGCUUGGUGGAUCUGAACUGAAUCAGGGAAAGAGUGAUAUGACAAUAGAGAACAAUUUGGUAAGUCUGGAUCCACAGCAGUUGCGCCUACAUCAAAGACUUCCACAACAUAUGAUGAGACCGAAUUUUCCCCAGACGGGAUGGAACAAUCUCAGCCAAGACACAAAGAAGGAAGAACAACAACACCCAAAGAGGAAACCAGCACAAAGUCCCCGUUUGUCUGCAGGGACAUUGGCUCAGUCUCCAUUAUCGUCAAGAUCUGGGGAAUACUCUGGUAACUCAGCUGGACCUCACAUGGGAGGAGUUGCAGCAGUAACCUCUCUUGGAUCGCAGAAGGACAAGUCCGCUGUUACCUCGCUUCCUGCCAUUGCUGGGACUGCUUCUGCCAAGCGGAGGUCAAAUUCGGUCCCAAAGAACUCUGCUAUGAGUGGAGUUGCCUCUCCUGCAAGUGUUGGUAACAUUAGUGGUUCAUUGAAUGCAAACAGUCCUACAGUUGGAACACAAUCUAUGGCUGAUCAUGCCAUUCUUGAUAGGUUUGCGAAGAUUGAGAUUGUCGCUUCAAGGUACAGUGUCCUGCAAGUACAACUGCUAUCUGCAAACUGAUCUUUUUUCCUGUAUUAAUGUUUGACUGAAUUUUUUCUGUUCCAGGCAUCAGCUUAGCCGUAAAAGGAAUAAACUAGAUGACUACCCAAGGAAGCAAAAUACGUAUAAUCCUCAGAAUAUUGCGGUUUGCCUAUCCAAUGCAGCGAAUUAUGAGGAUUUCAAAGAUGAAAUUAAAGAAAGGCAAUUAUCGAAGUCACUUGUUGGUGGCAACAUCAAUGUUCUCAAGAUAAGAGUUAUGAAUUUUAUGCAAGGUGAACGAGUGCUGCAAGGUUUGUUGAUGAAUCUACUCAAAAGUAUUAAAAAAAUUACACACUCAAAUUUAUUUAGUUACAUUUGUCACUAAGAGCUGCCUUAAUUCCCUAGGAAAUGUUGUGACUUAUGUCCCGAAGGCACGUGCUAGAAUGAUCAUGAUGGAGAAGUCGAAUGAUGGUACUGUGGCUAUGCACUAUGGAGACUUAGAGGAUGGGGAUGUUCUCUCUGCUGAGGAAUAUCUUCCUACAUUGCCUAAUACUGUAAGUCUACUGAUGAAAUCGGAUUCCAAUUCUAUUGUCUGCAUAGCUUGAAGAGCCAUGAUUUUAUGUUUCAGCUGAGUUUUUGUGUUUCUAUUAUUUUCAUGUUUGGCUCUGAUCCCCGAUAUUGUUUUUUUCUGCAGCAUUUUGCGGAUUUGCUCGCACAGCAGUUCUGUACAUUGGUAUGUUAGAAGAAUAGGCUUUCGAUUUUUGUAUGAUUUUCCUUUCCUCUUUCAUCAUCCACUCAGACUCGUUUUUGUUUCCCAACGCAGAUGAGUCGAGAUGGUUAUCUAGUGGAAAAUCACAUCGAACAAAAACCAACAAGGAUGAAUAAUACUUCAUCAAGCAGUCAACCUGGUGUAUUCCCCAACAAUGUAACAAUGGAGAUGCAGCAGCAAUACAAUGAAUCCAUGGCGGGUCAGACCUCAAAUGAUGUGAAGCCCACUCUUAGUGGCAACCCUUCGGUAAAUUCGUCCCAGAACGCACCGGUAAAUGCAAGGAUGCUGCUUCCUGGGAACUCUCAGGCCUUACAGAUGCCGGUGCCUCCAAGACCGCAGCAACUGGACCCACAACAGUUACCAAUUUCACAGCAAUCACAGCAACAAAACCAGCAUGCUUUACUUCAACAACAGCAUCAUCAGCAUCAACAGCUUCAGAGGACACAAAUGGUGCUUCCACCAAACCCACUCUCCCAUUUGAACGCCAUGGGGCAAAAUCCGAACAUGCAAUCGGGUGGCCAUUCAGUUAAUAACAAACAUUCUCCACUCCAACUUUCCCAGCAACAACUGCAGCAGAGGAAAUUGAUGAUGGGGCUUGCGGGGCAACCGGGCAUGGGCAAUAUCGGAAAUAACAUGGCGGCGUAUGGAGGCUUGGCGAAUGCCAUGGGGAUCGGAGGAGCUGCAAGGGGAAUUGUUGCCGGUUCUGGAAUUUCCGGACCAAUGGCACCUAAUUCAGGUAAUGUUGGUGGUCAGAACCCAAACCAGUUGCUAAUGAGCCAGGGGAUUAACAUUGGCAACGCCAUAAGCCAGCAGAUGCGAUCCGGGAAGAUGACUCAGCAACAGGCUGCCUUUCUGACAUCGCUCAGGAUGGCGAAUGCUCGAACAACCAUGCUCGGUGGCCCCCAGCCUGGAAUGUCGGGUGUUCGGCAGAUUACUCACCCGAAUGCUGCCGGUCUGUCCAUGCUGGGACAAUCCCUAAAUAGACCCAACAUGAGCCAGAUGCAACGAAACGCAAUGGGCGGACCCAUGGGCCCGCCAAAGCUUGCAGGGAUGAACAUGUAUAUGAAUCAGAAUCUGAAUCAGAAUCAGCAAUUGCAGUUACAGCAGCAGCAGUUGCAGCAAUUCCAACAGCAGCAGCAGCAGCAGCCGGAAGCUACCUCGUCUCUUCAAGCUGUGGUUUCGCCAUCACAAGUGGGCUCACCGUCAACCAUGG
rnacentral:lncRNA from 1 species